rnacentral:rRNA from 1 species
UACAGAGGUCUCAAGCGUUGUUCGGAUUCAUUGGGCGUAAAGGGCGCGUAGGCGGCGGGGUAAGUCGGGUGUGAAAGCCCUGGGCUCAACCUAGGAAGUGCACUCGAAACUGCCGAGCUUGAGUUCUGGAGAGGAAGGCGGAAUUCUCGGUGUAGAGGUGAAAUUCGUAGAUAUCGAGAGGAACACCGGUGGCGAAGGCGGCCUUCUGGACAGCAACUGACGCUGAGACGCGAAAGCGUGGGGAGCAAACAGG